UACGUAGGGUGCGAGCGUUUGUCCGGAAUUAUUGGGCGUAAAGAGCUUGUAGGCGGUUUGUCGCGUCUGCUGUGAAAUCUCAAGGCUCAACCUUGAGCUUGCAGUGGGUACGGGCAGACUAGAGUGUGGUAGGGGAGACUGGAAUUCCUGGUGUAGCGGUGAAAUGCGCAGAUAUCAGGAGGAACACCGAUGGCGAAGGCAGGUCUCUGGGCCACUACUGACGCUGAGGAGCGAAAGCGUGGGGAGCGAACAGG
rnacentral:rRNA from 1 species